UCCCUGGUAGUCUGGUGGCUAAGACUCCACACUUCCAAUGCAGGGGACCAGGGUUUGAUCCCUGGUCAGGGAA
rnacentral:tRNA from 1 species